UUUUCCAAAGUUCAGGGGUAAUUUUGGCCCUUUUCCGAAAAAAAUAAUUAUUACAUUUAAUAUUGAACAUUUCCUUCUUUUUUUAAAAAGAAAAAAAAAUCUUUUCUCUUCUUCUUCCCUAUUUCUCUUUCAUCUUUUCACCACCUCCACACGUUCUCCUCCAACUCCUCCACCCACCACCUUUUUACUGUUGAUCAUAAGCUUUAUAAGCAUCAUCACUUAAAACAUAUCUUCAAUUUAGCAAAGCGGCUUAUCAAUUUGGAUAUUGAGGUGUUCAUAUGGCGAUGGGGCCUGAAAGAUAGAAGCCUUUACAUAAUUUUACCUUACCAUGUGGGUUGAAGUGGGAGAACCAGAAAUAUUUGAGGAGCACUAAGGUAGAUUCCGACAGAGAUAUGUCUUCUGUUCAUCGGAGGUCAAAUGGGUCAGAAUUGAUUGGACCGGAGGUGCGAACCUGCACCAAAAAUUCAGAUCAAUAAAUGGCGAUAGCGUGAGGGACGAAGCUGUGAGAGAGAAGCUGAUGUUUGAUCUCCAAACCAAGGCUGACAAGAUGAAACACCCGAUUUUGAGGGAAGGUUUAGGCCCCGUUUGUCCAUAAAUACCAAAAAAAAAAAAAAAAAACUUUUUUUUGAAAUUU